UCGUGGUUGUGUUGUUACAACCGGAAGGAAAGGUUUUGUGUUGUGUUGUCAAGUUUUAUAUUUCUGGGGUGUUUAGUUGUGUGCCAAGUUUCGUAUUUCUGGGGCGUUUAGUUGUGUUGUUAUAGUCACGAUGUGUUGUUGUGAGUUUUAUGGGUCCGGAUUGUGGUUUUGUGGUGUGGUUGUGUUGUUACAACCUGGAGGGAAGGCUUUUGCGUUGUGUUGCCAAGUUUCGUAUUUCUGGGGCGUUUAGUUGUGUUGUUAUAGUCACAAUGCGUUGUUGUGAGUUUUGUGGGUCCUGUGUGGUUUUGUGGUGUGGUUGUGUUGUUACAACUGGGAGGCAAGGCUUUUGCAUUGUGUUAUAGAAUGC
rnacentral:lncRNA from 1 species